rnacentral:lncRNA from 10 species
AGCACACCUUCAACCACAUAACUUCAAAGUCAUUUCUACAAUGAAGUCAAUUCUAAGUAAACUUCAAAUCAAAAUAAUUGUCAAAAGCUCUGUAUAGAUCCUUAUAUUUACCAUUUUCUUGUUUGCAUCUUGUUCUCAAAGCAACAUUUGCAAUUGUGGGUUGUGUUCAGCAUUCAGGCACCGAUCACUUAACAAGCAGGAAAUGUCAAUGGUGAUUAACAUUGCUACUGUUGGAAAUAUUUACCCCUUUCAUAAGGGGUAUAAGGGAAGCCUCUUUUUCCCUCCUCUCUGUCGGAGAAAAGCUUAUUCAUUUUACAAGGCUCAGUUUCAGUAUAUUGUCCUCCAGGAAACCUGCCCUGACCAAUCAUGCUGGAUUAGGUGCUACUGUCUGUGUUUUUCAAUGUUCUAUGCAUUUAAAAUUCAUUGAAACUCCAUUACUAUACCUACCAUAGUUUGCUUAUGUGCUUGUUUUCUCACUAGAUUGUGAAUUUAUUGCAGAGAAGACUUUUUUUUCUUUAUAAUCUCGAUACCUAGCAUGCGGUUGGUUACUUAGUAAACCAAUAAAUAUUUUUGAAUACAUUAAUGAAAACAUUGCAUUUUUUCAUAGUGAGUCAAAGCCCUGUCCAGUUUGAAAUCUCAGCAGAGUGACAAACAUUGAGAGUUGUCAAAGAGCAGUUCCAGUCUCAUCACAACAUUUAAAGCUUUUGGAAUGCAUCGGUUUUGGAAGUAGUCCUCAGGAGUUGUUGCUCCGGAAUACAACUCACUCUUAACUUGCUUUUAGCAGUUUAUGACAGAGUGAAAAUUCAGAGCUCACUGAACUUCAGGAUGGAACUAUCCCAGGCAGAGUGAGUCAGGCAAACUGUAGGCACUUUGGGCAAGAAUGCAUAUUCUCUGCCAAGGCAUCACUUAUUUUACAGGGAAAAAACAGUAAAUUUUUAAAGGCAUACACAAAGAACUAUGCUUAUUAAUGUGGGAUAUGACUUUCGUGUGACAAAGCAGAGAAAUAAAAUGCAAACCUCAAAAAUGAAAACACAAGUCACCAGUCUAUUCAGUUUAUGUUAUGAAUAUAACAGGAUGUUCUGCACAAAUUUCAGGUAAGUUAAUAGCUUUUUUCCCCUACAAAAUACAUCUCUAUCAUAACCACAAUGAGCAGAUACAGUACAUCUUCUACCCUGCAAACAUCCUACUGAAUUUGAAAAUUCAGAUAAUAUCAUUAUCCAAUGCUUUUUAUUCUAUACAAGAAUGUCAGUGUUGUAAUCUCAGGUUUUAUUUCAAUGUGCUAUCUUAAUUUUCAAAUAAUACACAAUAUUUGGUUUUUCCAGAGGUGAGAGGUUGAAGAUUAAAAGGGUAUCGGUAAAAAAAAAAAAAAAAAAAGAUAUGGUAUCUGUAUUGUUAUGAAGGCAUUUGCCCUCAAAAUUGCUGUAUCUACAGCAAUUAUGUCAGUGUACUGUCCUGCUAUUUCCAACAUAUUAUUUUCUUAAUUGCCUUGGGAUACCUCAAAAAUAAAAGCCAAUUUUUAAAAAGUAGAU